rnacentral:rRNA from 1 species
GCACCUCUCUGGAUCCUCGAAUUGAAAGAGAGAUUGAGAGGGAUCAAGAAUCCUAAUUCUCGCUAUUUGGAAUGGAUCCUUUGCUCCAUUCCUUUGAACCAAAUUCAUGAAUAG